GUGAUGUGGCGCAGUGGGUAGUACGACUGCCUACCGCGCAGAAGAUUCCGGGUACAAUUCCCGGUGGGUCACU